rnacentral:rRNA from 1 species
AUUGAACGCUGGCGGCAGGCCUAACACAUGCAAGUCGAGCGACGCGGCGGACGGGUGAGUAAUGGCUAGGAAUCUGCCUGGUAGUGGGGGAUAACGUCGGGAAAAGGGCGCUAAUACCGCAUACUAUCAGAUGAGACUAGGUCGGCUUAGCUGGUUGGUGGGGUAUAGGCCUACCAAGGCGACGAUCCGUAAAGGGUCUGAGAGGAGGAUCAGUCAAACUGGAACUGGAACACGGUCCAGACUCCUACGGGAGGCAGCAUGGGGGAAUAUUGGACAAUGGGCGAAAGCCUGAUCCAGCCAGGCCGGGUGGGGGAAGAAGGUUUUCGGAUUGUAAAGCACGUUAAGUUGGGAGGCGUUACCAACAGAAUAAGCACCGGCUAACUUCGUGCCAGCAGCCGCGGUAAUUC